rnacentral:sRNA from 1 species
AAUAUUGUAUAUAUUUUUGUUGAUAUAUGUAUAACAUGUUUGAACAGCAUCUCAAGCAGAUCAAGUUUGUUAUAUUCCAUAUCCAUAUACAAAGAAACCAAAGAACAUUUGGCUCAGUGUUUUAAAGGUCAAUCCAAGGGGAAACAUUUCUGGACAAUAUGAAAAUACUGAUCCGACACUGUUGCAAACCGAGGAUGAUGAACCUGUUUUGCAGACUACAAUUGAAGAUCUUGUAAUAGACUAUCCGGUAGGAGACGUAACCCCAAUCAUCCUCGAUUACGAUAUUGGAGAUGCUGAACCAGAAGAUGAAUUCCGAUGUAAUUUAUCGUCCUCGGAUGAAGAUGAAAUAGAAGACGAAAAUGAAUAAUAAUUGUGUGAAAUAGAUGUAUAAUUAAUUAUUUGAAUAAAUUUUUGAAUAUACGAUGUAUUUGAAAAAGUAUUUGAAUAAUUAUUAA